GACGAACGCUGGCGGCGUGCUUAACACAUGCAAGUCGAACGGUGAAGCACCUUCCUUUUGGUGGGUGUGGAUGAGUGGCGAACGGGUGAGUAACACGUGAGUAACCUGCCCCCUUCUUCUGGAUAACCGCAUGAAAGUGUGGCUAAUACGGGAUAUUCUGGGUCUGUCGCAUGGCGGGCCUGGGAAAGAUAUUGUUUCGGUGGGGGAUGGGCUCGCGGUCUAUCAGCUUGUUGGUGGGGUGAUGGCCUACCAAGGCGGUGACGGGUAGCCGGCCUGAGAGGGUGGACGGUCACAAUGGGACUGAGACACGGCCCAGACUCCUACGGGAGGCAGCAGUGGGGAAUAGUGCACAAUGGGCGCAAGCCUGAUGCAGCGACGCCGCGUGAGGGAUGGAGGCCUUCGGGUUGUAAACCUCUUUCGCCAGUGAAGCAGGCCUGUCCCUUUUGUGGGUGGGUUGACGGUAGCUGGAUAAGAAGCGCCGGCUAACUACGUG
rnacentral:rRNA from 1 species